rnacentral:lncRNA from 1 species
GCAGCCGCAGCCCCUGGCGCUAACGGUCGGUAACGGCCCGCGCGCGCCGCCCGCCGGGGGCUCGCGCCAGCCACGAGGGAGCGUCCGCGGCCCGCGCGCCCGCGCGGCGGAGGAGAGGUGAGCCCCCGCCCGGGCCAGGCCCUCUGGCCGCGCCGUCCGCCCCUCUAGUCGUGUCCCCUCGUGGGCCGAACGGACGCGGCGGUGCCCCGCGCCCGACCAGACGUCCCGUGGGCUAGGGCCUGGGCCUCGGGCCGCGUCGGCGCCGGUCGAGCCUCUCCGGGUGUCGGGGUUCGGGGCGGGCGCGCGUGGGCGUGGCUCCUCUGUCCACGCCUGUUCCCUUCGUCGCCGCGGCUCUCGUCCGGGACACGGCUUUCCGGAGUAGAGCCCUUGGAGGUGUUAAGUGUGAUGCUUCCAUAAUACAUUUGGAUGCUGUCAGCUAAGUUCACUUCUGAACUAAGGGGUUCCUCCAAAUGUUGGCUGAAAUUCAUCCCAAGGCUGGUCUGCAAAGUCUGCAAUUCAUAAUGGAGCUACUGUACUGGCUAUUGGAAGGAGGAGAUUCUGAAGAUAAGGAGGUAAAACCUGUUUAGAAAUUAAAAAUGAGUUACGAUUUAAAGAAAAUUCAGAUGACUCAUUGUGAGUGCUAGUUCUCUUGUAGGAUGCCACUGGAAAUGUUGAAAUGAAAAAUAUUCAGCCGUUGGUCUUUGAAAUUUCCUGUGAUGUGUUUCAAUCUAGAUGCAAAGAACAUGGAAAAAUCAAAGUGCUCGAGUGGUUUAAAUAUGUUUUGGGUAUUCCUGUUUAUAGACUAUAAUACUUUUCCAAUUAAAAUCCUCAGUUGUCACGCAGAAGAAGGUUAAGCUGUAUUUGAUUGCCAGUUUUACUGAAAAUGCUUAGUAUUUUACAGUAUCACCAAAUAUAUUUUGUUUAGCCAAGGUAUAGGAAAAAUAAAAUAAAUUGUAUAGGUUGACUUUUUUCUAAAAUGUCUUUAUUGGAUUGAAUGAAUGUUUAUACCUGAAAAAAAAAGGUUCAAAAAAA